rnacentral:lncRNA from 1 species
CCUUGAUUUAUGAUCAAACAGAAGUUUGCAAACGGUUUCUCGAGCCUGGUCCAGAAAUCCAUGAGCUUUAUGUCAUCUGGAGGAGGCCCAGAAGACGGGAUUAUUUUUCCUGUAGCUGUUAUUAGCCAGUGUUUAUUAAGAAGAUGAAAUGUUGAACUGGAGCCCUUUUUUUUUUUUUUUUUAAAUUUUAUUUUAUUUUAUUUUAUUUUUUUUUUCAGCCCUAGGGUGAGGGCAGAGCAAAGGUGCUCUGGGAAAGCUCCUGGUGUGGAAGUGACACAGGGAUUUUAGGCACCACGGGAGUGCCUGACUUUGCUGGAAGAAGGGAUUGCAAAAGGGACAUGGAGGAGGUCUGGAGAGCAAUAAUUCUAAAUAGCACCUCAGGAAUGAUGUCAUUUCGACCGAACGUUGGACAUUGGGCAAUGAAUUCCUUUGGAGCAAGAGCAGCCCAGGGCCACCAGCCAAGAGGGGGGAAGAACUUCCACAGAACAGGGCCUUGCCUGGCUUCAUCCCAAAGAAGUCCCCACGAUCCCAGAGUGAUCCUUGUGGUCCCAGAGGGGCCUCUUUGAUCCCAGAGUGAUCCUGAGCUGUUCCCUUGGGGCUCAAACCAACACCAGUGAAAACCUGCGUCCUCCUCCUGGACUGAGGGGGCCAAAAGGCUGCCACAAAUCCAGGGAUAUUAUUCCUGUGGACUUGAUGAACUCAAUGACUUGAUGAAACAUCAAAACCACCCCAUAAAAACUGUGUGUUGGUGGAGUUUUUAAUUUGUAGGGUGACUCGUGGUGCUGCAAAUGCUCUGAACCGGUGGCUCACCCUCAGGGUGGGGUGAAGGAAUAGCCCUUUGACACAUAACUCUGGACAAAUUCCCACUAAUUCAGCCAUAAACAGCUGAAGGCCUGGUCAGCUUUGUAGAAACCUGCACAUUUUGUCCUUUUUAUCCCGUUUGUUCCCUUGUCCCACCAGAGGCCACCACAAACCUCAGCUGGGGGGGAAAAAAACCAAAAAAAAACCCAAAAAAAAAAAAAAACAAACCAAAAAAAAAAAAGAAAGAGGAAGAAAGCAAAGCAAUGGAAGGGGCACCUGCAGCCCUGAAUGGCCAAAGCUCCUGUUUUAUGAGGAGACUCAGAAGUGGAACUUGGAUCCCUCCAGAAACAGCUUCUCCUCCCGCUGCGUCGGGAGCGACUCCCGGAUCGCGCCUCUCGGAGCCAGGGAAUGAUCUCAGGCCGCUGAGAUCAGAUUUUGCUGAG